CUGUCUCUCUCUCCUCCCUGUGCUCUCUUCUCCGCACUCUCUCCUCUUCUUCUCCUCCUGCUCUUCAUCUUCUGUCCUCUGUCCUCUGUCUCUCUCUCCUCCCUGUGCUCUCUUCUCCGCACUCUCUCAUCUUCUUCUCCUCCUGCUCUUCUUCUUCUUCAUCUUCUUCAUCAUCUUCUUCAUCUUCUGUCCUCUGUCCUCACUCCUUUCUCCACUGUCCUCUGUCCAACUGGCGGCCUCACAUGUUUACUGAACUAGCAGAGAGCAGGUGGAGAGUUUUGUCAGAAAGAGAUUUUGGAAGUACGUCUAUCCGGCCUCACAACCACAGACCACGUGUAACCACGCCAGCUCACGACCUCCACAUCCGGCUUCUUCACAUGCGGGAUCGUCUGAGACCAGCCACCUGAAGAGCUGAUGAAAAUAACCGAAACAUUUCUACUCAAACUCACCAGGGUCUUGACAUGACUGCAGUUUGGCAUCAUAACAGACUUCAAUGGGCAAAUGCUUACCUUCGAUGGCCACUGGAACACCGGAGAAGUGUGCUCAUCACGGAUGAAUCCCGGUUUUAACUGUACCGGGUAGAUGACAGACAGUGUGUAUGGCGUGGUGUGAGCGAGCAAUUUGCUGAUGUCAAUGUUGUGAUCAGAGUCCCCCAAGGUGGCAGUGAGUGUAAUGGUUAUGGUAUGGGGCAGGCAUUAGCUACGAACAACGAAC
rnacentral:lncRNA from 1 species